rnacentral:rRNA from 1 species
GACGAACGCUGGCGGCGUGCUUAACACAUGCAAGUCGAACGGUGAAGCGCCUUCCUUUUUGGUGGGUGUGGAUGAGUGGCAAACGGGUGAGUAACACGUGAGUAACCUGCCCCCUUCUUCUGGAUAACCGCAUGAAAGUGUGGCUAAUACGGGAUAUUCUGUGUCUGUCGCAUGAUGGGUCUGGGAAAGAUAUUGUUUCGGUGGGGGAUGGGCUCGCGGCCUAUCAGCUUGUUGGUGGGGUGAUGGCCUACCAAGGCGGUGACGGGUAGCCGGCCUGAGAGGGUGGACGGUCACGCUGGGACUGAGACACGGACCAGACUACUACGGGAGGCAGCAGUGGGGAAUAGUGCACAAUGGGCGCAAGCCUGAUGCAGCGACGCCGCGUGAGGGAUGGAGGCCUUCGGGUUGUGAACCUCUUUCGCCAGUGAAGCAGGCCUGCCUCGUUUGUGGGUGGGUUGACGGUAGCUGGAUAAGAAGCGCCGGCUAACUACGUG